GGCAGUGCGGCAGUGCAGCCUUCGGGAGGAAGCAAGUGCAUCCCGCUCUUCCGGCUGCGUUAAUGGCCGGGUGCGGGGGAGACGCAUCGCUCCGAGGGGCUUCUAUUCUCUCGCCUCCCUUUCUCCCCAGAUGCACUCUCCGCUUCCCCUCCCCUCGCCCCUUUUUGUACGACCGCUUUCUCGGCCGAUUUUUCAUGCUCCGCUAACUGCCGGCGCUUUCACGACCCGCGCGAGCUUUUGCUGCCUCAUGAAGAUUUAUGAAACUGCAGUAAUAAACUGUGUUUGAAAAGAUCCUUUUGAUGAUAAAGCCCUGCCGGGCUGCUGGCGGGGGGACCCGGGCGCACCGCGCCGCCGAGCCCGCAGCCGCUCCGACCCGGCGCGGCUCCCGCGGGGCAGCGCCCGCAGCACCGGGAAGGUUUUUGGGGGUCUUUCCCACCCUGAAGAGCAUCACCUAAAGCGCGGUCAGGCUCCGGUGCCCCCGGCGCCUCUGUUUUCCCGGGAAGCAGGCGAUGGCCGGACCCUGCUAGCAGCCCGGGGCCGUGCCCCGGCGCGGGUGACACCUUCUGCUGGCAGGUGAGGAAGAUGGAUGGAUGAAUCGGCAAAGAGAACCGCGUUCCCUUAACCUCCCGCUGCUCGGAGAGGGGCUGGCCAGGAUUUACCGCGGGAUUUUGGCUGUGGUGGGAGCCCUGCGCUCGGCCAAGGAGCCGCCUCCAGCCCCUGCAGAGCCCCGGGGGGCCGCAGCCCCCGUCCCGCCGGAGCAGCUUCCCGGCCGCCGUGGGAGCCGAGCCGCGCCCGCGGAUCCCGAAAGGACGAGCAGCCACAUGAUCUCCGCCGACGAUGCCGAGUACCCGCGGGAGUACCGGACCCUGGGCAACGGCACCCGGCGCUUCUCCAACGUAGGGCUGGUGCACACCUCGGAGCGCCGGCACACCGUCAUCGCCGCCCAGAGCCUGGAGGCCCUCACCGGCCUCCAGAAGACGGAGAUGGAGCGCAAGAGGGACGCCUUCAUGGACCACCUGAAGAGCAAGUACCCGCAGCACGCGCUGGCGCUGCGGGGGCAGCAGGAGAGGAUGCGGGACCAGCAACCCAACUACUGGAGCUUUAAGACGAGGAGCUCCCGACACUCCCAGGGCUCCCAGCCUGGCUUGGCCGACCAAGCCAAACUCUCCUUCGCCUCGGCCGAAUCCCUGGAAACGAUGUCGGAAGCGGAGCUGCCCCUGGGCUUCAACAGGAUGAACCGGUUCCGGCAGAGCUUGCCCCUGUCCCGGUCCACCAGCCAGACCAAGCUGCGAUCUCCAGGGGUCCUUUUCCUGCAGUUCGGGGACGAGACGAGGCGCGUGCACAUCACCCACGAGAUCAGCAGCAUGGACACCCUGCACGCCCUCAUCGUGCACAUGUUCCCCCAGAAGCUCACCAUGGGCAUGCUCAAGUCCCCCAACACCGCCAUCCUCAUCAAGGACGAGUCCCGCAACGUCUUCUACGAGCUGGAGGAUGUCCGCGACAUCCAGGACAGAAGCAUCAUUAAAAUCUACCGGAAAGAGCCACUCUACGCCUCGUUCCCAGCCUCCCACAUCACCAACGGCGACCUGAGGAGGGAGAUGGUGUACACGUCCAGGGAAUCGUCUCCCACCCGCCGGCUCAACAACAUGUCCCCGGCGUCCCACCUGGCCUCGGGGUCGCCCCCGCCCGUGCUGCAGUCCUCGUCCCCGUCCCGCUCCCGCAUGUCCUACAGCGGGGGCCGCCCGCCCUCCUACGCCGGCAGCCCCGUGCACCACGGCGAGCGCCUGGCCAGCCUCCCGCCCGCCCCCGGCGUGUCCCCCAGCCCCAGCGCCAUCCUGGAGCGCCGCGACGUGAAGCCCGACGAGGACCUGGCCGGGAAGAACGUGGUGCUGGUGAAGAACGAGGGGCUCUACGCCGACCCCUACGGGAUGGUGCACGAGGGCCGGCUCAGCAUCACCUCCACGCAGUCCCUGGCGGGCAUGGGGGACCCCUUCGGCUACUCGGGGGGGCUGUACAAGCGGGGCUCCGUGCGCUCCCUCAGCACCUACUCGGCGGCGGCGCUGCAGUCGGAGCUGGAGGACGGGCUGUACAAGCCCAACGCGCCCAUCUACGGCGACACGUACGGCCCCGGGCUGGGCUUCCGCGUGCCCCCCUCGUCCCCGCAGAAGAUGGUGGACGUGCAGCCGGGGCAGAGCCCCCACAGCCCCUACUCGGGGCCCCCCAGCCGCUCCUCGCCCGUCCGCCAGUCCUUCCGCAAGGAUUCCUGCUCCUCGGUGUUCAUGGACAGCCCCGUGGGCAAGACGCGCAACCCCAGCUCCUCCGGCCCCCCCGAGCUCUUCCCCGGCCCCGGCGAGCGCCCGCUCUCGGGGUUCGGCUCCCCCGGGCCCGCCAAGGACACGGAGACGAGGGAGCGCAUGGAGGCCAUGGAGAAGCAGAUUGCCAGCCUGACAGGGCUGGUGCAGAGCGCUCUGCUCCGCGGCUCCGAGGCUGAGACCCCCAGUGAGAAGACAGAAGCCACCAACGGUGGGACCCCCCCGUCGGCGUCCACCAGCCGCAGCGGGGGCACCCCGGUGCCCGCACCACCCCCCCCCUCGGCCAGCAGCACCCCGGCGGGGCAGCCCACGGCCAUCACCCGCCUGCACAUGCAGCUGCACCUCCACGACCUGCAGCAGAACGCCAGCGACCUGCGCAACCAGCUGCAGCAGCUCAGGAAGCUGCAGCUGCAGAACCAGGAGGCGGUGAAGACGCUGCUGCGGCGGACGGAGACGGAGAUCAGCGUGCGGGUGACGGACACCAUGCGCAAGCACGAGGACCCUCUGCAGCGCCAGCGCAGCCUCGUGGAGGAGGAGCGGCUCCGCUACCUCAACGAGGAGGAGCUCAUCACCCAGCAGCUCAAUGACCUGGAGAAGUCUGUGGAGAAGAUCCAGAAGGAUCUGGCCCACAAUCACCGGCUGAUCCCUGUGCAGGAGCUGGAGGAGAAGGCGGUGGUGCUCAAGCAGCUGGGGGAGACACUCACAGACCUGAAGGCCCAGUUCCCCAGCCUGCAGAGCAAGAUGCGGGUGGUGCUGCGGGUGGAGGUGGAAGCUGUGAAGUUCCUCAAGGAGGAGCCGAACCGGCUCGAUGGGCUCCUCAAACGCUGCAAGACAGUGACAGACACCCUCGCCCAGAUCCGCAGGCAAGUGGACGAGGGCGUGUGGACCUCCCCCAGCAACCUCAGCCAGUCCCCCAAGAAGGUGGCCCCCGAGACAGACUUCGGCAAAGGGCUGGAUUUGGAGAUGCCCACCAGCCCCCCUGUGAGCCUGGGCAUGCCCAGCUUCGGGCACAGCCCCCCCCAGACCCAGAGCCACCCCUCCAAGAGCAAUAACCCUGCCCGAGCCCCGGAGAUGGUGCCCGCCAAGACACAGACUGGGCCGGAGACCCCCAGCAAGAAGAGCGCGGACAAAGCUGUGUCCGUGGAGGCGGCCGAGCGGGACUGGGAGGAGAAACGGGCAGCGCUGACCCAGUACAGCGCCAAGGACAUCAACCGGCUCCUGGAGGAGACGCAGGCCGAGCUCAUGAAGGCCAUCCCCGACCUGGAAUUCGCUGCUAAGCACAAACAAGCCCCGGGCAGCGGCAGCGCCGCCUCCACCCCCGAGCACAAACCCUCCAAGCCACAGCACGCGCCGAAAUCGGGGGGCAAAGGGGACCCCAACGGCCGCCGGGGCUCAGCACCGUUUGUGCCCAGACGAGCUGACGGUGCCGCGGUACCGGACCGAGAAACCCUCCAAAUCCCCCCCACCUCCCCCUCCACGCCGGAGCUUCCCCUCGUCCCACGGGCUGACCACCACCCGCAGCGGAGAGGUCAUCGUCACCAGCAAGAAGGAGCCCGGGUUCAUGAAGAAGGCCGAGUCGGAGGAGCUGGAGACGCAGAAGCCGCAGGUGAAGCUGAGGAGGACGGUGUCCGAGGUGGUCAGGCCGGCCUCCACCCCCCCCAUCAUCGCCUCGGCCAUCAAGGACGACGACGACGAGGAUCGGAUCAUCGCCGAGCUGGAGGUGUUUCAGAGAAGCUCUGCCUCCCCUUUCCUCCCCAAGCUCCAUCACGAGCCGCUCGUGGCCGUCUGCCCCGGGCUGGCAGAGCUGUGGCCCAACGGAGCCUCCGUUGCAGCCCGAGGAUGGAAGAGCGGCGGCGUGUCCAUCCCGGCCAUGAAGGUGGUGAACCCGGCGUCGCGGCUGAAGCAGAGCCAGCAGGGCAGCCCCGACAAGAGCAAGCACAUAAAGCAGCGGAUGGAGUACAUGCGCAUCCAGGGCCAGCAGCAGAGCUCUCAGAGCUUCACUCCACCAGUCCCACCAGCUUCGAGCAAAGAGGAGCUCCAGGCUUCGCCCCCCGGCCCCGCGCGCCCAGGGGGGAAACGGCGCCCGCCGAAGACGCCCCCGGCACCCCCCGAGCCGAGCGGGAGCCCCCCGAGCAUCCCGGGAGCCCCCCGGCAGGAGGAGAGGACCCCCCGCGCCCCGGCCGGGCCUCGGCGGUGGGUGGUCGGUGCCGCCGCGGCCGCACCGCGUCCUUCGCCGGCCGAGGGCCCGGUGACGUCCCGGGGGGGUGUCACCGCUGCCACCACCCCCCGGGGGCCGGGGGGGAGGCAGGAGGGGCCGGGGGGUGCCCGCCCGUGCCGGAGGGGCCGGAGGGUGAGAGUGUGAAACGGGGAGGGGCGGCCGCGGCCGCCCGACCCCCCCCCGGGGCGGAACGAAGCACUUUAACCGAGCGCCGGGGUGGGGGGACGAGGGCACGGGGGGGUCCCACCGCACGGGGACGCCCUGCCCGACCUCUGCCACCUUCCCCAGGGGAUGAGGAGGGGGGACAAGUGCCCGGAGCCCCCUGCUCCGGGUGGGGAUCCCACCCUGGGGGGCCCUGCCCGGCCUGGGGGACCGGAGGGGUCCCCGGGGUGCGUGGCCAGGGGAUGCCUGUCUGUGGCCACCACCCACCACAGCUGAGCCAGGUGUGUCCAGGAGUGCCCAGCUGUGCUCCAGGUGUGCCCAGCUGUGCUCCAGGUGUGCCCAGGUGUAUGCCAGGUGUGCCCAGCUGUGCUCCAGGUGUGCCCAGGUGUAUGCCAGGUGUGCCCAGCUGUGCUCCAGGUGUGCCCAGGUGUAUGCCAGGUGUCCACCAGGAGUGCCCAGGUGUAUGCCAGGUGUGCUCCAGGUGUGCCCAGCUGUGCCCAGGUGUGCACCAGGAGUGCCCAGCUGUGCCCCAGGUGUGCCCAGGUGUGCACCAGUUGUGCCCAGCUGUGCCCAGCUGUGCCCAGCUAUGUUCUAGGUGUGUCCAGGUGUGCACCAGCUAUGCUCCAGCUGUGCCCAGCUGUGCCCAGGUGUGUGUGUGCGUGUGCUCUCCGUGUGUGCCCAGUGCACCACGAGAUGGAAUCACUCCUUUUCGUUGGCUAAAGUCGUCCUUGGGUUGGUUGUUUUGGUUUUUUAUUUUAAUUCUUUUUCUUCUUUUCCUCCCCCCUCCCCUCUUUUUUUUGUAUCUCGAUCAUUUUUGUACAGAAGAACGAAGCCUUUUUUGAAUAACAAAGAGAAAACAAAAAAAACCAAAAAGACAAAAAAGAAAAAAAAAAAAAAAAAAAGGAAAAAAAAAAUCAUGAUGCAAUUUCUUUGGAUUGCAAAAAGCAACUCUUUACAUUUAAGUGAAGUGUCUUAACAUUUUAUAUUGUUUUAAAAAUAUAUUUACAUAUUAUAUAUAUAUAAUAUACGUAAUAUAAAUAUAUAUAUAUAAAUAUUUAAAGAGAAAAAAAAAAAGAGAAGAAAUAAAUCACGUCUGGUAUAUUAGGGGGUGGAUUUUAUCCCUUGGUUAGACUUUAGAGCUCCUUGUGGUUUUUGAGAGGGCCGGUUCUGAGCGGCUUCUGAGUUCCCAUCCUCCUUCCAGCACUUUCCUUGUCCCAUCCCUGUCCCCCACCCCUCAGAUCCCCGGGGCUGGGUGGCCCUGGGGACACCCCCGGGGUGGGGCAGCCCCCCCUUCCCGGCAGCAAUAGCAGUCACUUGAUGCUUUUAAUUUCCUUUUUUUAUUAUUUUCCUUGGUACCAAAGUGAAUCAUUGUAGCAAAGCCGCAGCUUCUUAGGCCAGGAUGGGGGGGUGGUCCCCCCUCCCCUGCCCCCUCCCCACCCCCCCCACGCUUUGCAGCCCCCACACCCAUCCUGGUGCUUCCCAGAUGCACAAAGAACCCCCCCUUCCCCUCGGGGAGGUGGGAGGGUGACAAGUGCCACCCCCACCCCCCCGGGGACACCCAUAAAGGUGUUGGGGGGUCUGUAUUUGGUGCAAACCCCAUCCCAGGGGUGUCCAGGACACCCACAGAGGUGUCAGGAGGGGCUGGACUUUGUGCAACCCCAUCCCAGCAGCACCCAGGGGUGUCCAGAACACCCAUAAAGGUUUGGGGGGGGUCUGUAUUAGUGCAACCCAAUCCCAUGGGUGUUCAGAACACCCAUAAAGGUUUUGGGGGGGUCUGUAUUAGUGCAAACCCCAUCCCAGCAGCACCCAGGGGUGUCCAGGACACCCACCCCACUGGGACCACGCUGUCACACAGCAGGGGGGGGGGUCCCCACUUUGCCCCAGGAGCCCCCUGCCAGCACUCCCUGCAGGGCAGGAGGGGUUUGGGGUGCCCAACUCUGGGGUUUGGGGUGCCCACCUCUGGGUUUUUGGGGUGCCCACCUCUGGGGUUUGGGGUGCCCAGCUCUGGAGUUUGGGGUGCCCAGCUCUGGGGUUUGGGGUGCCCAGCUCUGGGUUUUUGGGAUGCCCAGCUCUGGAGUUUGGGGUGCCCAGCUCUGGGUUUUUGGGGUGCCCAGCUCUGGAGUUUGGGGUGCCCAGCUCUGGAGUUUGGGGUGCCCAGCUCUGGGUUUUUAGGGUGCCCAGCUCUGGGUUUUUGGGAUGCCCAGCUCUGGGGUUUUUGGGGUGCCCAGCUCUGGGUUUUUGGGGUGCCCAGCUCUGGAGUUUGGGGUGCCCAACUCUGGUUUUUUGGGGUGCCCUCCACCGAACAAGGGGGUGCACAGUGCUGGGUGAAGGGGUUCACCCCAAAAUCCCCCAAAUCCAGCCCCCCAAGCCCCCCCUUUCUCCCCCCCUCCCUCUCCCACCCAUCAGGCUGGUUCCCCCGUGAGCGUGUGUGUCCGUCCUUUCAUGGCAUCAUGCAAAAAAAAAAACCCAACACCAAACAACCCCUUCCCUCGAGCACCCCGAGCUGAAGCAAGAGAACAAAAACAAACAAACAAAAAAAUUAAAAAAAAACCCAAACCCAAACAAACAAAAAAAACACCCAAACAAAUAAAGCGAUUCUGGUUCGAAACCAGAAAAAAAAAAAAAAAAAGACCAAAAAAACAGGAAAACGUCGCAAAAAUAUUUAAAAAAAAAAGGUAAAAUAACCAAGCGCUGCCUGCAUGUGUCGGAGGCACCCGCUGCAUGAGCACCCCCUGCUUUACUCGUCUGGAUGUUGUUUAAAAAAGGCUACGACUCUGAAAAGGGCAAAAAAAAUUAAUAUAUAUAUGUAAGAAAAAGAAAAAAAAAAAACAAACGAGUUCCUGAUUCUCUUUAGAGGCUGUUUUGGGGUUUCUACGACGUCGUGUGUCUCUCUCUCUCUCUCUCUCUUCGCAUGAAAUUUUUCUUCUCGUGAACUGUUUUAAAAGAAAAAAAAAAAUAAGAGGCGGAAAAAAAAAAAAAGGGAUGGAAAAGGGAAUAAAAACGAGGGAAAAAAAAGGAAAAAUGUUAAAAAAAAAAAAAAAAAAAAAGGAAAAAAAGGCCUUGCACGGGGUGGAGGUGGGGGGCGAGGGGGGUGGGGUUGGGGGGGUGGGCCCCCCCUGUGCCCCCUCUCCCCGUACCCCCCCCCGUGCCCCUCCCUGUGUCGCUGUGGAUGCCAUGGGUAGUUCUGUGCACAACGUGACCAUUGUAAUUGCAAAUCCCAUGACAAAAGGGUUGCUUUUUAUUUUCCUUUUCCCUUUAUUACUUUUCUUUUCUAUCAGAGUGUCUGGCUUUAAUAAUAAAAUUAAUUUUUUUUUUU